rnacentral:rRNA from 1 species
AGAGUUGUAUCCUGGCUCAGAUUGAACGCUGGCGGCAUGCCUUACACAUGCAAGUCGAACGGUAACAGGCCGCAAGGUGCUGACGAGUGGCGAACGGGUGAGUAAUGCAUCGGAACGUGCCCAGUCGUGGGGGAUAACUGCUCGAAAGAGCAGCUAAUACCGCAUACGACCUGAGGGUGAAAGCGGGGGACCGUAAGGCCUCGCGCGAUUGGAGCGGCCGAUGUCAGAUUAGCUAGUUGGUGGGGUAAAGGCCCACCAAGGCAACGAUCUGUAGUUGGUCUGAGAGGACGACCAGCCACACUGGGACUGAGACACGGCCCAGACUCCUACGGGAGGCAGCAGUGGGGAAUUUUGGACAAUGGGCGCAAGCCUGAUCCAGCAAUGCCGCGUGCAGGAAGAAGGCCUUCGGGUUGUAAACUGCUUUUGUCAGGGAAGAAAUCUUCUGGGCUAAUACCCCGGGAGGAUGACGGUACCUGAAGAAUAAGCACCGGCUAACUACGUGCCAGCAGCCGCGGUAAUACGUAGGGUGCGAGCGUUAAUCGGAAUUACUGGGCGUAAAGGGUGCGUAGGCGGUUUAUUAAGUCAGUGGUGAAAGACGGUCGCUCAACGAUUGCAGUGCCAUUGAUACUGGUAGACUUGAGUGAGAUUGAGGUAGCUGGAAUGGAUAGUGUAGCGGUGAAAUG